rnacentral:rRNA from 1 species
UGCCUAAAACAUAGCGUUAAUGCACCAUAUCCCAUUAGAACUCCACAGUUAAGCAUGUUCAGGCUAGAGUAGUACUGGGAUGGGUGAUCGCCCAGGAAAUCCUAGUAUUUUACAUUC